GCAACCCUUUAGUGUUGCUUACUUUUUUGCCACCAUUUUGUAAGCAAGUUGCGGAGUGCAUGUAUUUUUCCGUCAUCAACAAUAUAUAAUAUUGUUGUUUUACUUUUAUUUGAUCAAUAAGAUCACAAUCACGUCAGUGCUUUUUGAUAUAUCAUUCUAAAUUGCUGGUGUAAAUUGCGAUGGAUAAUCAGAGAGAAAAGGAACGUGAUCGAUCCCGUCGAGGGGACCGACCAUCCAGAUUUUCUGAUGCAACCAGAGAUCGCUCUAGCGACCGGGAGCGCCCUGAAGGGAAAAGACUGCUCGUGUCCAAUAUUCCUUAUGAAUUUCGCUGGACGGAAUUAAAGGAUCUGUUUAAAGAGAAGGUUGGAGAUGUGGCAUACGUAGAACUAUUCAAUGACGAGAACGGGAAACCGAGAGGGUGUGGAGUAGUUGAGUUCACAAACCCUGAAGCUAUGAAGAAAGCCCUAUUUGUCAUGCACCGUUAUGAAUUAAAUGGUCGUAAACUAGUGUUGAAGGAGGAAACAGUUUCAGGGAAUGACAGGAAUAGGAUGAAUUCCUCUCGAUCUGGAGGCGGUGGUGGUGGCGGCGGUGGCCGUAAUGCUAGGAAUGAUGAUAAGGACUCUUUCAGUUGGGGUAUCAAUAAGCCAAGGGAGCCAGAGAACUACAAUACCUAUGGUCUAAGUCUCCAGUUUCUUGAGUCCAUAAAUGUACAACCACCUUUAGUUAAAAAAGUAUUUGUUGCUAAUCUUGACUACAAAGCAGACAGAGCUAAAAUAAAGGAAGUCUUCAAAAUGGCUGGCAAAGUCCGCAACAUUGAUCUGGCUGUAGACAAAGAUGGUAACAGCAGAGGAUUUGCAGUUAUUGAAUAUGAUCAUCCUGUUGAGGCAGUUCAGGCUAUUUCAAUGUUUGACAAACAAAUGUUGUAUGACCGAAGAAUGACAGUGCGCAUGGACAGGGGUGUCACAGAUAAAGGUGAAGUGAGGUUACCAGAGGGCUUGAAAAGCAUCGGUCUUGGUCUUGGACCUAAUGGAGAACCUUUGAGAGAUGUUGCAAGGAACCUUCCAACUCAGACCCCUACUACUACAAAUCUUAGUCUUGCAAAUACUGGCACCGCAUUAGGUGCAGGAGUUUUGGGUGCGGUACCAGCUGCGGGUGUGACUUUGAACGGACUUGGAGCAGGAUUGUCAGCUAAUACUUUAAAUACUAACACAGCUUUGGGUGGAAACUUAGGACUACAGGCAUUUAGUUUGACUGGCUUGGGAGCCUUACAGAAUCAGUUGCUACAACAGGGUUUGACUGCUAAUGAUUUGGCUACAGUGCUCACAGCACAAGCUAAUGUGAAUUCAAAUAACUUGGGACUCGGUAAUACAGAUUUAGGGUCUAGCCUUAACUUGAACAACUCUAGCUUGGCCAAUAGUGUAAUGGGUAACAACACUCUCAGCUCAGGACCUUUGUCAGGCACUAACAGGCAAAUGGGUGGUGUGACAGUUUCAGCCCAAUACGGACGGGAUCCUGGAGUUCAGCAAUCGAGCAGAGACAAAUCAUCUGACAUGGUCAUCAUCACUAAUUUGCCGCCAACAGUGACGUGGCAGUUGAUUCGCGAGAAGUUCAGCGAGUGCGGCGACGUGAAGUUCGCUGAAAUGACUGCACCUGACACAGCUGUGGUCCGCUUCCAUAAGGAGUGGGAUGCAGAGAGAGCUAUAAAAAUGUUCGAUCGCACCCGCAUCGAUGGAAGGACGAUCGAUGUUCGCUUUUUCUAGCAGGCGGCCGCUGAAGAAUCACUAUGGAUGAGCUAAGUUAUGACAGUUUUGUCAAUGUAUCCGAAAUGGAGAGCAUGAUAUCGAUGAAACUGUGACUGCUUGAUGGAGCUGAUAAAGAUUCUGCACGGCACUCUAGGAAAGGAAAAGAAGAAAUUGUAGCUAUGGGAGCAAAACCAUUGUUUGGACAAGGUUCAAGAACCGACGUAACUGGGACUAAUUCUUAGAGGACUUUGAUACAGAGGGGAUAUUUGUUCAAAAAGGCAUUCUUUGGCUGGAAACCCUUUGACAAGGAAUUACCUAUUGGUCCAAAGAGAGGAAUAAGGUGAUAAUUCCACUUUAAUCGAGAAAUGUUUGGACCAACAAUAAAACUGAUGGACUCACUACAUGAUCAUAUCCACAUUCCCAGAACGAUGCUUUCAGGAGUUGAGUAAAGCAAACAUAUGACAAUAUUUGUCAGUGGUACAAGGUAAACUUUGGGGACUUAUGAUAGAUUUUGGCUAAGACGAAUUAUAGUGUAUACGAAUAUUAUACAAUACCGUCAUCUCUAGUGACAUGUUACAUACUAGAUAGAUAAUAAAUAGAGUGCAAGGUGUUCUGUGAAGCCAGUCGUUAAGUCAUAGUGCGCACAUAAGAACCAUUAUUACUUAUGUAGUAUAUUGUAAUACAUUUAUAUAAAUAAUUGUUAUAGCACGCUACACUAAAUAAUAAUUGUAAUUAUUAAAAAAAAAAACAGUCUGGUAAAAAGAAAUUGAAUACACUACUUUGUCCCUAAA